rnacentral:rRNA from 1 species
AGUGAACGCUGGCGGUAGGCCUAACACAUGCAAGUCGAACGGCAGCACAGUAAUAGCUUGCUCUUACGGGUGGCGAGUGGCGGACGGGUGAUGAAUACAUCGGUAUCUACUUUUUCGUGGGUGAUAACGUAGGGACACUUACGCUAAUACCGCAUACGACCUACGGGUGAAAGCAUGGGAUCUUCGGACCUUGCGCGAUUGAAUGAGCCGAUGUCGGGUUAGCUAGUUGGGGGGGUAAAGGCCCACCAAGGCGACGGUCCGUAGCUGGUCUGAGAGGAUGAACAGGCAAACUGGAAAUGAGACACGGUCCAGACUCCUAAGGGAGGGAGCAGGGGGGAAAAUUGGAAAAAGGGGGGAAGGCUGAUCCAACCAAGACGGGGGGGGGAAAAAGGGCUUGGGGGUGGAAAGCCCUUUUUGUUGGGAAAAAAAGGAGGAAGGUAAAACCCCGCUGUUUUGACGGGACCAAAAAAAAAAGGACCGGCUAAAUUCGUG